UACGAAGGGGGCUAGCGUUGCUCGGAAUUAUUGGGCGUAAAGAGCUCGUAGGCGGUUUGUCGCGUCUGCCGUGAAAGUCCGGGGCUCAACUCCGGAUCUGCGGUGGGUACGGGCAGACUAGAGUGAUGUAGGGGAGACUGGAAUUCCUGGUGUAGCGGUGAAAUGCGCAGAUAUCAGGAGGAACACCGGUGGCGAAGGCAGUUCUCUGGGCCGUAACUGACGCUGAGGAGCGAAAGCGUGGGGAGCGAACAGG
rnacentral:rRNA from 1 species